CCCUUAGAUGUUCUGGGCUGCACGCGUGCUACACUGAUAUUGCCAAUAUGUCAUUCUUAUCCGAAAUGGAUUGGGUAAUCAAGUAAUGAAAUUUCAUGCAUGGAAUCGGUAAUUGCAAUUUUAUCGUGAACGAGGAAUUCCUAGUAAGCACUAGUCAUCAGCUAAUGUUGAUUAUGUCCCUGCCCUUUGUACACACCGCCCGUCGCUACUACUGAUUGGGUGUUCAAGUGAGAUGCUUAGACCCUUGUUGCAUGGUUCAUUAUUGUGCUCCGAAAGGAAAAAGUUUCAAGCUUGAGUGUCUAGAGGAAGUAAAAGUCGUAACA
rnacentral:rRNA from 1 species